rnacentral:rRNA from 1 species
AUGGCCAUACCAUGCUGAAUAUACCGGUUCUCGUUAGAUCACCGAAGUCAAGCAUCAUUGGGCGCGGUCAGUACUUGGGUGGGUGACCACCUGGAAACACCGCGUGCCG